rnacentral:rRNA from 1 species
GACGAACGCUGGCGGCGUGCUUAACACAUGCAAGUCGAACGGAAAGGCCCUGCUUUUGUGGGGUGCUCGAGUGGCGAACGGGUGAGUAACACGUGAGUACCCUGUCCUUGCCUUUGGGAUAACUUCAGGAAACUGGGGCUCAUACCGGCUAGGAGCUCUUGCUGCUUGGUGGGGGCUGGAUAGUUUCGGCGGUUGGGGAUGGAAUCGCGGCGUAUCAGCUUGUUGGGGUGGUAGUGGCUUACCAAGGCCUUGCACGGUAGCCGGCCUGAGAGGCGAACCUGCCACAUUAGAACGGGGAUACGACACAGACUCGUACGGGAGGCAGCAGUGGGGAAGAGAGCACAAGGGGAGGAAGCCUGGUGCAGCAACGCCGCGUGCGGGAUGACGUCCUUCGGGUUGUAAACCACUUUCGCCUGUGACGAGGCGUGAGUGACGGUAAUGGGUAAAGAAGCACCGGCUAACUACGUG